UAUUAUAUUUAAUAUUAUAUAUUUACUAGGGUAGUAAUAGUGAGGAUUCUUAAAACCCAAAGAAUUUGGCGGUGUUUUAGUCUUUUCAGAGGAAUCUGUCCUAUAAUUGAUAAUACACGAUUAGUUCUACUUAAUUUUGUUAUCAGUUUAUAUACCGUCGUCAUAAGAUUAUUUUUGUUUAAGAAUUUGAUUUUCUUGUUUUUUAAGUGGAUGAAAUGUCAGGUCAAGGUGUAGCUUAUAAUUAAGUGGAGAUGGAUUACAAUAGAAUUAUUUAUUACGGAUAAUUAAUUUUAAUUUGAUUUGAAGGUGGAUUUGAUUGUAAAUUUAUUUUUAAUUUUUAUGUUGAUUAGAGCUCUAGAAUGUGUACAUAUCGCCCGUCGCUCUCGCUAUUAAGGUGAG
rnacentral:rRNA from 1 species